rnacentral:lncRNA from 10 species
GGAGUGCAGUGGCAUGAUCUUUGCUCACUGCAACCUCCAUCACCUGGGCUCAAGGAAUUCUCCUGCCUCAGCCUCCCUAGUAGCUAGGAUUACAGGCGUGUGCCACCAUGCCUGGCUAAUUUUGUUUUUUUUUUUUUUGUAUUUUUAGUGGAGACGGGGUUUCACCAUGUUGGCUGGGCUGGUCUCGAACUCCUGACCUCAGGUAAUCCGCCCGCCUCGGCCUCCCAAAGUGCUUGGAUUACGUGCAUGAGCCACCGUGACCAGCUGACCAUCUCUCAUUAUUAAUAAGAACAUCACAGACAGGAUUCCACAUAUUUAUAAAAUUUCAUGUUAUCUCAAAGGUGGAGCUCCGGUUUCUUGCUGAGCCAGGAAUCACCUAUUACUAUCUGAUUUGCGGGGGACACAAAGAAGGAGGAAAAAUCACCAGGGUGAAGGAAGGCAUGAAGAGAAGGUAGUCUAAACUCUAAAGUAUUAGCAUUUUCUUAUAGUUAUAUCACUGCUACAUUCAGCUGAUUAUUACAAAUGCAUCUCUAAUAUAUUUUUCUCCUGUGUUUUUCUACAAGAACUUUCUCAGAGAGGUUGGUGAUAAGAAUAUCUUAUUAGUAUUUUUAUACUCUGCUACUCUAGUGGAAAAUCUAUUCUGAAAAACAUAACAUUCUAAAAGCUAAAUAUGUUAUAGGCAGAAAACGAAUAAAUAAACAAAAUGAACAUUGAAUCUAAUAUUGAAUAUUGGAUUGGGCAUGUUAUUUCUAUUAACGUUAAAUGGAUAUGUAAGCAUUUUAGUAGCUAUAUAAUAAUACACAUAUAUAUGUAAUAUUGUAUUAGAUGUUUGUACAUGUAGAGGUAAACUAAAAAUAUUAAAAUUAAAAAAUUAGAUUUUUUUGACAACAUAAAAAUAAAUUAUUGUAUAAUGACGUUCGUAAUCUCUGAAUAGACAAAACAAUAGUAGCGUUGUAAUUACCUGGAUGAUUUUUGGAAGUGCAGAAUGCCGACCUCAGAUCUACUGGAUCAGAAUCUACAACUGAACAAUUACCAGGUGC